GAUGAACGCUGGCGGCGUGCCUAACACAUGCAAGUCGAGCGGCAGCGAGGGGUGCUUGCACCAUGUCGGCGAGCGGCGGACGGCUGAGUAACGCGUGGGAACGUGCCCCAAAGUGAGGAAUAACUGCCCGAAAGGGUAGCUAAUACCGCAUAUUAUCUUCGGAUCAAAGGAUUUAUCCGCUUUGGGAGCGGCUCGCGUCGGAUUAGGUAGUUGGUGAGGUAAUGGCUCACCAAGCCGACGAUCCGUAGCUGGUCUGAGAGGAUGGCCAGCCAGACUGGAACUGAGACACGGUCCAGACUCCUACGGGAGGCAGCAGUGAGGAAUCUUCGACAAUGGGCGAAAGCCUGAUGGAGCAACGCCGCGUGCAGGACGAAGGCCUUCGGGUUGUAAACUGCUUUUAUAAGUGAGGAAUAUGACGGUAACUUAUGAAUAAGGAUCGGCUAACUACGUG
rnacentral:rRNA from 1 species